rnacentral:lncRNA from 1 species
AUUUUUUUUUAAUGCCACCUAAGCUGCUAUUUUUCUGUUGGGUGCAGCUACAAAGCCUAAUUCCAAGUAAAACAGCUGCCAGGAAGCCUUUAACCCUUGAAGUUUGCUUGCAAUACAGGAUUUAUUUAUUUCUCUUUCUUUCACACACCUCAACCUCGCCUCCCCAUCCAGUUCACCUGCAUAGUUACUAAACACUAGACCGGAGACAAAAUUUCUCCCUCAUUUCUGAUAACGUUCUGUUGUAUUUUUGCACUCUUCUUGAAAGAGACGGCCAUUUUGUUGAACAUUUUCUGCAAUUUUUUCCCUUGUGGUGGCCGCCAUUUCCGCCCUCAGUGCUCCAGAAGAAUGCUGGGAUGUUGUUGUGGGCAAUGCAGUGGCAGCUGCUAUUUGCUGCUGUAGCAGAACAGAAGAAGAAAAACCUUAAAAGACGGUUGUGUACCACGGCAACACAGAAGUACUGGAAAGGGUUACUUCCAGGUUUCGCUGCUCGCGCAUGGGCACAAGCGCCAAAUUGCACCGUGCACCUGCGCAGAUACAGUGCUUCAGGUUGCGGGCUUUUCGUGUUGCAAACGGGCCUCUGGAAUGGAUCCCAUUCGCAACCAGAGGAGACCUCUGAAUUCCACCCUCUUCCAGACUGCAAUCCCAGAUGCGCUACAAGACCCCCAGCGGGUAUCUCUGCUUCUGAAAUAUGGCACUCGGGAGACUCCGUAGCCCACAGUUCCUUCUCCUCAGCUUCACUCCAGUCAUCCUAUAACCUGAGCUUGGACCAAGGCCUCUCCCUCUCUCUUUUGGCACAGGCCUUGGGACUGGUGGUACAGUGUCAUGCCGCUCCUCAGAAGCAAGUUUCUCCUCAGGGGAUUCUGUCGCGCAGUGACCUGGAUCUCCUCUGA